CGUAGGUGGCAAGCGUUGUCCGGAUUUAUUGGGUUUAAAGGGUGCGUAGGCGGCUUUGUAAGUCAGUGGUGAAAUAUGGCAGCUCAACUGUCAGGGUGCCAUUGAUACUGCGGAGCUUGAGUACAGAUGAGGUAGGCGGAAUUGACGGUGUAGCGGUGAAAUGCUUAGAUAUCGUCAAGAACACCGAUAGCGAAGGCAGCUUACUGGGCUGUAACUGACGCUGAGGCACGAAAGUGUGGGGAUCAAACAGGAUUAGAUACCCUGGUAGUCCACACUGUAAACGUUGAUGACUCGCUGUUGGCGAUACACAGCCAGCGGCAGAGAGAAAUCGUUAAGUCAUCCACCUGGGGAGUACGCCGGCAACGGUG
rnacentral:rRNA from 1 species